CCCACUAAUCUUGAUAUAAUCAAGGUCCAACUUCAAACAACAACAAAUUAAAUGACAAGAUCUUAUUUCCAAGCAAAUUGUGAUUAGUUAUUUGAAUUUUUACUAUUUAUUUUGCUCAACUUUUAACUCCUACUAAAAUUUUUGAAGUACAAAAUUAAAGUUUUCUAUAUUCUUAGUGAAAUAUAAAUUUAAGGUCCAGCUACACAAUGCACUAAAACCCUACCAACUGCACCCCCAAGAGGCCAUGAGGAUGAGAUACAAAGAGGGG
rnacentral:lncRNA from 1 species